GAUGAACGCUGGCGGCGUGCUUAACACAUGCAAGUCGAACGAUGAAGCCCAGCUUGCUGGGUGGAUUAGUGGCGAACGGGUGAGUAACACGUGAGUAACCUGCCCUUAACUCUGGGAUAAGCCUGGGAAACUGGGUCUAAUACCGGAUAGGAGCGUCCACCGCAUGGUGGGUGUUGGAAAGAUUUAUCGGUUUUAGAUGGACUCGCGGCCUAUCAGCUUGUUGGUGAGGUAAUGGCUCACCAAGGCGACGACGGGUAGCCGGCCUGAGAGGGGGACCGGCCACACUUGGACUGAGAAACCGGCCCGAACCCCACGGGAGGCCGCAGGGGGGAAUAAUUCAACAUGGGCGCAAGCCUGAUGCAGCGACGCCGCGUGAGGGAUGACGGCCUUCGGGUUGUAAACCUCUUUCAGUAGGGAAGAAGCGAAAGUGACGGUACCUGCAGAAGAAGCACCGGCUAACUACGUG
rnacentral:rRNA from 1 species